UACGUAGGGGGCAAGCGUUGUCCGGAUUCAUUGGGCGUAAAGAGCGUGUAGGCGGCCAGGUAGGUCGGUUGUGAAAACUGGAGGCUCAACCUUCAGAGGUCGACCGAAACCAUCUGGCUAGAGUCCGGGAGAGGAGAGUGGAAUUCCUGGUGUAGCGGUGAAAUGCGCAGAUAUCGGGAAGAACACCCGUGGCGAAGGCGGCUCGCUGGGACGUUACUGACGCUGAGACGCGAAAGCGUGGGGAGCAAACAGG
rnacentral:rRNA from 1 species